rnacentral:rRNA from 1 species
CUUGAUAACAUAAGAGGUCCAGCCUGCCCAGUGACUCAAUUCAACGGCCGCGGUAUCCUAACCGUGCAAAGGUAGCGUAAUCACUUGUCUUCUAAAUAAAGACUAGUAUGAAAGGCACCACGAGAACUAAACUGUCUCCUUUUUCUAAUCAGUGAACCUAAUCUCCCCGUGAAAAAGCAGGGAUUUAAUAAUAAGACGAGAAGACCCUAUGGAGCUUUAAACACAUAACACUGCCCCUUUUACACCACAAUGUUCCAUGCACAAUGAUUAAGAGUUUUUAGUUGGGGUGACUACGGAGUAAACCCACCCUCCGCGAUGAAUCAAACAAGCGACAGCUUUAUACAUCAGCAAACUGACACCAUUGACCCAAUUUAUUGAUCAACGAAC